GGAAUAUUGGACAAUGGGCGCAAGCCUGAUCCAGCAAUGCCGCGUGAGUGAUGAAGGCCUUCGGGUUGUAAAGCUCUUUCGCACGCGACGAUGAUGACGGUAGCGUGAGAAGAAGCCCCGGCUAACUUCGUGCCAGCAGCCGCGGUAAUACGAAGGGGGCUAGCGUUGUUCGGAAUUACUGGGCGUAAAGGGCGCGUAGGCGGUACUUCAAGUCAGGCGUGAAAGCCCCGGGCUCAACCUGGGAACCGCGCUUGAGACUGGAGAACUAGAGUUCGGGAGAGGAUGGUGGAAUUCCCAGUGUAGAGGUGAAAUUCGUAGAUAUUGGGAAGAACACCGAUGGCGAAGGCAGCCAUCUGGACCGACACUGACGCUGAGGCGCGAAAGCGUGGGGAGCAAACA
rnacentral:rRNA from 1 species